UGCAGUCGAGCGGUAACAGAUCCAGCUUGCUGGAUGCUGACGAGCGGCGGACGGGCUGAGUAAUGCAUAGGAAUCUGCCCGAUAGUGGGGGAUAACCUGGGGAAACCCAGGCUAAUACCGCAUACGUCCUACGGGAGAAAGGGGGCUUCGGCUCCCGCUAUCGGAUGAGCCUAUGUCGGAUUAGCUAGUUGGUGAGGUAACGGCUCACCAAGGCCACGAUCCGUAGCUGGUCUGAGAGGAUGAUCAGCCACAUCGGGACUGAGACACGGCCCGAACUCCUACGGGAGGCAGCAGUGGGGAAUAUUGGACAAUGGGGGGAACCCUGAUCCAGCCAUGCCGCGUGUGUGAAGAAGGCCCUCGGGUUGUAAAGCACUUUCAGCGAGGAAGAACGCCUAGCGGUUAAUACCCGCUAGGAAAGACAUCACUCGCAGAAGAAGCACCGGCUAACUCCGUGCCAGCAGCCGCGGUAAUACGGAGGGUGCAAGCGUUAAUCGGAAUUACUGGGCGUAAAGCGCGCGUAGGUGGCUUGAUAAGCCGGUUGUGAAAGCCCCGGGCUCAACCUGGGAACGGCAUCCGGAACUGUCAAGCUAGAGUGCAGGAGAGGAAGGUAGAAUUCCCGGUGUAGCGGUGAAAUGCGUAGAGAUCGGGAGGAAUACCGGUGGCGAAAGCGGCCUUCUGGACUGAGUCUGACACUGAGGUGC
rnacentral:rRNA from 1 species